rnacentral:lncRNA from 1 species
GUCCCAUAGGCUGUUGUUUUUGUCCACCUCUUGGCAUAUCUCUUCAGAGGUCGCCACGACAAAUCAGCUUUCACUGAUUGGUGCGGGUGGUUUGGCAGAGACUUUAAGCUGGAUGCCUUUCCUGACACAACCCUGUGUUUUACAUCAAAGAACUGACAGCUGCCGUAGCGCUCCAGCUGUAAAGCUCUGUCUUGGGAACCUCCGCCCGCAGCAGACGAGGAUUUACAUUUCUUUGAUGAUCUACCCACAUCCACCACCAUCCUGCCUUUUUAAGCUGCUGUGUGUGCAUGAGGGGCUCCUAGUAAUCAGUGCUGCAAAAAGAAAAGGGAUCCCUGAGAAUCUGAGCCUGACCGUUUAUGAGCAAGUGGUUGCAGAUAGGAGGAACUCUAUCAAAAUACAGUAUACUGUCUGAUUCAAAGGGAAGUAUUUAAAUAAAUAAGUAUUUUGUGCAGUUUACUGUCAAAUGACUUUACUGGGGCUGGUUUAGCUCAUGCUGGUUUGCGGCGCCUUACGUCCGUGAAACCUGGGUUCAAUUCCAGGCUGCUCCCUAUUCCCUUCUCUGCUGCUGUGCCGGUCCCAAGCCCGGUUGGAUUGAGAGGGUUGCGUUAGGAAGGGCAUCCGGUGUAAAACAUUUCCAAAUUAACCAUGCAACUCAUCCUUGAGGGAGGGUUGUUUCGCUGUGGCAACCCCUGAUGGGAAACGCCGAAAGAAAAAGAAGUGUCAAAUAACUUUACUCAUCCUAAU